CAGGUUUACCUGUGUGACUGCGUACCUUUUGUAUAAUGGGUCAGCGACUUAUAUUCUGUAGCAAGGUUAACCGAAUAGGGGAGCCGGAGGGAAACCGAGUCUUAAUUGGGCGUUAAGUUGCAGGGUAUAGACCCGAAACCCGGUGAUCUAGCCAUGGGCAGGUUGAAGGUUGGGUAACACUAACUGGAGGACCGAACCGACUAAUGUUGAAAAAUUAGCGGAUGACCUGUGGCUGGGGGUGAAAGGCCAAUCAAACCGGGAGAUAGCUGGUUCUCCCCGAAAGCUAUUUAGGUAGCGCCUCGUGAAUUCAUCUCCGGGGGUAGAGCACUGUUUCGGCUAGGGGGCCAUCCCGGCUUACCAACCCGAUGCAAACUGCGAAUACCGGAGAAUGUUAUCACGGGAGACACACGGCGGGUGCUAACGUCCGUCGUGAAGAGGGAAACAACCCAGACCGCCAGCUAAGGUCCCAAAGUCAUGGUUAAGUGGGAAACGAUGUGGGAAGGCCCAGACAGCCAGGAUGUUGGCUUAGAAGCAGCCAUCAUUUAAAGAAAGCGUAAUAGCUCACUGGUCGAGUCGGCCUGCGCGGAAGAUGUAACGGGGCUAAACCAUGCACCGAAGCUGCGGCAGCGACGCUUAUGCGUUGUUGGGUAGGGGAGCGUUCUGUAAGCCUGUGAAGGUGGCCUGUGAGGGUUGCUGGAGGUAUCAGAAGUGCGAAUGCUGACAUAAGUAACGAUAAAGCGGGUGAAAAGCCCGCUCGCCGGAAGACCAAGGGUUCCUGUCCAACGUUAAUCGGGGCAGGGUGAGUCGACCCCUAAGGCGAGGCCGAAAGGCGUAGUCGAUGGGAAACGGGUUAAUAUUCCCGUACUUGGUGUUACUGCGAAGGGGGGACGGAG
rnacentral:rRNA from 1 species